UCAUACAUUUUUUUUUUUGUUUUUUUUUCAUACUGGUCCCCCGUGGGAAUCAAACCCACAACCCUGGCAUUGCAAACACCAUGCUCUACCAACUGAGCUACAGCUGGACCCCAGGAAGACUAGCUGCUGCCUUGCCUUGGCAACAGCUAAUGGGUAUCCAUAAUAAAUACAAAUACAAAGACCCAGAUGUGGAUCCACCUGAUAUCCUCCAUUACCAACCACCCUCCAACUUUUCAAUACAUCAUCUACAGCUAUUGUUAUUGUCAUGUUGUUAUUAUCUGCUAAGAAAGUUUUCUUGCCCUAUCAUACUUGGCACAUAAUAUGUGAAAUACACAGAUUAACUAAAAACACUAGCUCUGCAAACAAAGAGAGCAGCAGUGCCUGGACUUUGUAGUCUCCCUCAAGUCCCCCUUCCGAGACUGGCUGCCCGUUGAGAACAAGUGACAGGCAGAACCUCCCACCAACACAGCAACCACCUACUCGCUAUUACACACACCAGAAGUCAGUAUUUCAGUCUAUGAUUGCCAAGUGAGUGUACAAAAAACUGUGAAAAUAAAUUAAUGAUAAAAC
rnacentral:tRNA from 1 species